AUGCAACCCCCGACCGAGGUCACAGCCAAUGGAAGAAAGGGUACCUUUGCUAAAACAGGCAUGCAAAAGUAUACAUGGCGAGGCCUCUGCGCUGCAGCUUGCAGACCGGUCAGCAGUCGGACCCCACCUCCAGCGUCCUCUCUUCCCCUUCUCCCCCCGCUUCCCGCGACUCAAACAGACAGCUAUUUGAAAUUUCCCGCCUGGCGCAAGCGCCCAAAGGGAGGACCCUCUAAGAGAGCACGCGGAGGGAGAGCACGAACGAGCUCCUCGGCCAGAGGAAAGGGCUUCGGGGGCAGCUGGUGGCCAGCUCCAGCUGAUGGUCGGGGGCUACCGGGGAACUUUUCCGGGAACCUUCCAAGCCGGGUGCACGCGCCUUUCCCGGGACGUUCGGAACGGGGGGAGGGGGGCACAGCGCGCGCCCGCGCGCGCCUUUCCCGGCCACGUUCCAAACCGGGCGCACAAGCUCCUCCCGGGGACGUUCCAAGCGGGCGCACGCGCCUUUCCCGGGGACGUCCCAAGCGGGCGCACGCGCCUUUCCCGGGGACGUCCCAAGCGGGCGCACGCGCCUUUCCCCGGGACGUUCCAAGCCGGGCGCACGCGCCUUUCCUGGGGACGUGCGAAAGGGGGCAGACGCCGCGCGCGCGCACGAGACGCUUCCAGCCUCGAGAAGCGACAGCUCCGAGGAAGAGGUGUACACACGCCGACGCCGCUUCCUCCAGCGGGCUUCACGUGGGGCCGCACGGCGCGGAACUCGUCCAGCCCUGCCGGUGCCAGGCGCCAGUCCCCCGCCCGCCCACCACGCGGCCGGCAGAAACCGGGCCUGUAGCCUUACCCGCCCGAUUCCCAGCUCGGUCCUACAGUCUAGAUCCCAGGGUGUUUUUACCUCAAUCCAGGUGGGCCAAACGGAACUCCCCUACUCUCCAGACCGGGCCGCGAACUGCUCUCACGCAUGCGCCCUGCAGUCUCCGCUGUUGCGGGGCGGGAGAAUGGGAAAGAAAAAAACUCAGCGACCCCUGCUGGCUAGCCCCGGAAGUACACCCGGCUGGUUUCGGCUGA
rnacentral:lncRNA from 1 species